rnacentral:misc_RNA from 1 species
AUGGAUGUGUCCGGCCAAGGACGUCGCCGACACGCCGAAACGGACAGGAAGAGCAACGAAGAAAAGCGAAGAAGAGACGGUGAACGCUAAGGCAGUAUCAGCAGAGCAUCGAACGCAACACCCGACGUCGCAUCUUAAGUCCUCUCCGCACAUACACAUAUAUAUAUAUAUAUAAAGCUUUUUAUUUUUGUGUGGCUCCACCCCCCCCUGUGGGUGUGCGCAUGUGUGCGUAAAAAAGAGGAAGACGCGUUGUCUCUCCCCCUCUCUCGCUGCAGCUGGUGGCUUCGUGCACGCGCUCGCUGACGCUCUGCUUCUCCACACGACGGAGAGGGGAGAAAAGGGGCUGUUUGCACGACGCUUAUGUAGCGCGAAUCCAAUACAAACACACGCAGACACAGACACAGACACAGAAACACCCUGGCGUAGCGGAGAGGCGUGUGCCGUUCUCCAUUUCUGUUCGUGCUGCUCGCCCACAAUGACGCAGCCACCGGGUGCCUCCGAGAAGGAAAAGACGGCCCGACUCGUCGCGUCACUUUCCAGACAUGAGCAGGUGGAGCUCUUGGCGCAGGCGCUCUUGCGGGAGUACAUGCAUCGGCGCGGCCUACGCGAGACGCUGCGUACCUUUGACGCGGAGAACCCGCGCGAUGAGCGCACCAUCUCAUCUCGCGCUCUCAUGCGUCAGCUGCUGAACAUUCCUGUCGACGGGCGGCCAUCACGGCUGCAGCCCACCGCUUCCUCCUCCUCGGCGAAACCGCAGGCUCCGACCUUCAUGGAGGAGCUGUGCUCCUAUCGGCUGACAAAGAACAGCUACCGGAGCCUGGACGGGAAGAGGGGCGGCGAGCAGCAGCGUAUCCAGGAGGAAGACCCUAGUGAUGUGGAGCUGCGUGCAUUGCGCGAGGCAGCAGAUGCACAGCGGGCGGCAAAAACCUCAUGCGAGCAGAAGCAGCGCGAAUACGAAGAGCUGCUUGCCGCGGAAGAGGCCUAUCAGCAGCGCAAGGAGGGGCACAAAGAGAGGAGGAAGCGUAAGUACAAGGACAAGAGGAGGCGCAGUUUGAAGCAGCGCUUCCGUGACGACGCUGGCAGCAACGAUGAUGAGGCGGAGAGUGAAAGCGAGCAGAGCGAUGAUAGUGAGGGCAAAGAAGGAGCUGCGCUCGUCGCCGGCUACUCCCACGCGUCGAGAAGGCCACAGUGGGCCCCAUCGGGCAAGCGCCGGCUGUCGGCCGAGUCCGGAAGUGGUGUGAAUGCGACCGCUGUAGCGGUGGGCGCGCAUUGGCAGCCACCAGGCAAUGCCGCUCGAGCAGGUGCCGACCACAGCACUUCCGGCGAUGGCGUCUCUCGCCGUUCUGCGAAGAUCGUUUCUGGUGGAACGGUCCGUCUUGGGCUGGACAACGCCGAUAUUAAGGAUAGAAGCGACCACGAUAGUGAGGCGGACCCGUUCGGGCUCAGUGGGGCGAGUCGGCAGGCGCUGAUGGCGCGAGUUCGCGCAGAGAGCGAGCACUGGCCGACGCAAGCUAACGGAGGUGCCACCCAUGCCCAUGCCAGCAGCACGAGCAAUGUUAACGGCGACGGGGGUGCCCCGGACAGUACUCUGAGCGCUGCACCUGCCGCUCUCUCGACGCUAGCCGGGCGAGGAGCAGGUGAUAGGGGACUUGCCUCGCUGAGCGGCCCUCGACCAGUUGGACGGGCGGCAGCAGGAUUCAACCCGAACGGCACGUAUGCGUCUCCAUCGUUCUCUGGGUCGCUUUCUGCCACUGUACCUGCCGGUGCCAACGGAGGCAUGGCUGCGCUUCGCAUGAAGGCCUCAUCCAUCCCGAUUCCUGGCCUGAGCGCAGAUGGCGCCGUGAGAGGACUGGCGAGCACGCACAGCAGUGGCUUUCCUUCGGCGAUGCCGACUGUCAGUUCGGCACCGAGCAUCCUGGUGAAGCACGUGAGCGCACGGCAACAGUGCGACGAUGGUGCAGCCAGCGACGGGGCACUUCAUUCGUACGACCGAACCGCGCUGCCGCGCAGCAGCGCGCUAGCCGGCAGCAACGGCGGCAGCACUGCGCGCACUGCUGCCGCCUGCAUUCCGUCACCGAACGCUUCUGCUCUGAGCGAGUCGGCCUCCCCGGUGUUCUCUGUGGCUUCGCGAUCCCCCGCCAGCAACGCUGGCGGAUCAGGCGGAGGCGGGGGCAGUGGACUGCGCCACGGUAUCGGGUUCCGCACUUCGUCUACCUCGGCGGAAGGCACGGCGUCCUCGUCCGCCGCAUUCAUCGGCGCUGCCGACCCCGCUGCCGGUGCUGCAAAGCCGAGCCGCAAAGAGCGCCGUGUAAAGCUGCUCGUGGAUUGAUGAGAGGUGAAGAGCCUGAGUGUGCGUGCGUGUGUGCGUGCUGCUUUUUGAACUCAAUGACGGAUGCGGAUGCGGGUGUCCAUGCGAGGUGUCUCUCCUUCUCUUCCUCUCGUCUCGCUUCCUCCAUUCCUGCUUGCAGACAAGCACACGGCGGUGCUGCCGAUGUUGAUGCCAGUGAGCCAAGCGAACCGCAGAGGUGGCUGGAUGACGAAUGUAACAUGUAUAUAUAUAUAUAUAUAUAGUGGAGAGGAUGUUGGUGGUGGCGGUGGCGCUGUUGGUGCCGUUGGUGGCGGGUGAGCUGCUUGCGUGCCUGCAGUUGUGGGUGUAUCUCCGCGCAUGCAGGUGGGACAGACGGAGGCCACGGACAGGUAGCGUCAGCCAACAGCCACUCGCGCAUUCGUAUGCGCCAAAGAGAGAAGAGGGGCGCCUCUCUCUGAAUCCUUUUUCGCGCGCAGCCUCUAAGGAUGUGUCCGCUCAAGGGCAGCGCUCCCUUCUUCGAAACCCCCUCCCGCUCAGGGUGCGCCCUCUUCACGCUGCACACCUCUCAACCCUCCGUGAACUUCACAGACACGCACGCGUUUGCCGGGAGUAGCAGCAACAGGUGCCGAAGGCACCUGCGCAAACGACGAUCCCGAGCUCGGGGCGCAGAGGGGUGCAAUGCGUGCCGUUGUGGGACUGAAAUACCGCUCUCGCACCCCUCUGCGCUUGUGUGCCUCGUGUUUCUGAGCGCGCGCACUGCACCCAUCGUUGUUGUCUCAUCACGGCAGUGUAUGUGCUGCAGCACAUGCCCGCGCCCACCCUCCCCGUUUUGAUUGAUACGACUUGCGCCUUUCUUGCGCGGUCGACAUCUCCUUGUCUUCCCUUGCACGGCCCUCGCUUUAUCUCUUUCUUUCCCCCUCACGUUGCUGAAUGGCUGCAUGUGCCCUUGUCUCUUGUUUUGGCAACACGCACGCCCCCUCCCUCCUCUCUCGUGGCACAACUUCGCUUGCCGCCGCCACGGCGAUCACUGCGACUACCCGCCCUGGGCACGUAUACGCACAUAG